rnacentral:rRNA from 1 species
CACUCCUGCGGGAGGCAGCAGUGGGGAAUUUUGGACAAUGGGGGCAACCCUGAUCCAGCAAUGCCGCGUGAGUGAAGAAGGCCUUCGGGUUGUAAAGCUCUUUUGUCAGGGAAGAAACGGUAGUAGCGAAUAACUAUUACUAAUGACGGUACCUGAAGAAUAAGCACCGGCUAACUACGUGCCAGCAGCCGCGGUAAUACGUAGGGUGCAAGCGUUAAUCGGAAUUACUGGGCGUAAAGCGUGCGCAGGCGGUUGUGUAAGUCAGAUGUGAAAUCCCCGGGCUCAACCUGGGAAUUGCAUUUGAGACUGCACGGCUAGAGUGUGUCAGAGGGGGGUAGAAUUCCACGUGUAGCAGUGAAAUGCGUAGAUAUGUGGAGGAAUACCGAUGGCGAAGGCAGCCCCCUGGGAUAACACUGACGCUCAUGCACGAAAGCGUGGGGAGCAAACAGGAUUAGAUACCCGUGUAGUCCCAUGAU